ensembl:lncRNA
UGAAACGAUCUACAGGCGCUGAAUGAAGAAUGUGUCAAAUUGAAUUGGGUUUUAACAUGAAGCGCGUUUUAUAAUACGCACAGUCACAUGACUGCUUUGGAGACCCAGACUUUUAAUGAGCAAGAGUGUGGCAUGGAAAACAAAAAAAAUCAAGACGGCAUGAGGAAGGAAACUCUCACGAGAGCAUUUCACAGAAGGCAGAAUUAUACCUAAGAAGUCAGAGUUCGACCUGAAAAUGACUUUUAGACCAAAAGGUCCUCCGUGAUUUCACUGACAAUGGCUGCCAGAAUUUUAAAAACUCACCUUCAACUUCAAAUUUCAGAUUUAAAACGCUAAUAUAGUGCUAGAGAAGAUACACUCUGCCUUCAAAGGGCAUAAACCACUGAAGGAGAAAAUAGUUUUCCUUCUAUAAGCAAAGACAUUGUUUUUCAGCUUUUUAUAUAGUUAUCCAUAGUAGAACUUUAAUACUACUACUCAUGUUCUGAACUGUCUUUAUAUUCCGGGAUGUUAAAAUCUGACACUUUCAUUCAGGAAGUAACACACCAUCCCAUAAUGUUUCCAUAUAUGCUUACUACAAAGAGUGUAAUAUAAUGAUGUAGUGAAGUAUGUAGCAGCAAUAAGUAUCUUUUAGAAAUUGACUCCUUACAGGUUAUAGUGUCGAGGUCCCUACAGGAUUUUGUGAUUUUGCAACUGCAGAAAUCAACGCAAAAUCAAGCAAACUCCGGAAUAUUUGCAAUACGUCGAAAUGACCGCAGAUUUUGUCGCAUUCCACCAAAGCCCUCUUUGAUCAGGUGCAUCGAGCAUGAGGACAGCUAAAAGGUCUCAUUGGCCAGUAAACAUAACUGUGAAAGACUUCCGAAUUGCGAUUUCGCCAAUUCAAGUAGUUUUCCACAAAAAAAAAAAAAAAAAAAAAAAAACAAGCAUUUUUGGCUGCAACAAUCACAAAAAAAAAAUCUGUGAAUUCCUGAACAGACUGAUAUCACUUUUAGGACGCUUCUUUAAUCCGUUGUUUAUAUGCAAGUUGGCAACGCAUGCAUUUACAUUAAUGAGAAUAUAUGAAUAUAAAUUGUCAACGGAUGCGUCUCAGUCAGCUCCCUAGUUCAGUAGUCAGGACCCUGAUCAGGGAGUCGGCCAUUUUAAGCGCUGUCUCAAGCGCAAAAUCCUUCCAGUGCACUGGAACGUUCACUCCCUAAAAAAUCCCACAAUGCACCACAAAACCCAGGGAGCGUCGAUGUUCCCUUACUGGAAAUGACGUCAUGUUUUCUGAAGCCUCUCCUGCUUGAUGUACCAUGACAGAAACGUGUGAUUAAGUCGACAAAUUCAUGACGUAUAAAUAUUUUUACGUUUUUAAUUUUUGGUGACGUUUUAUUUUACACCGUGAUAGCCGGGGUCGCUACCAGUUCCUGAACUGGUGUACACGAUACGAUUCAUAACCUAGGGAGCUAAGGAGAUGUUCGAGACAUGCCCAGUUAUUCAGACCACCAGUUUUAGGUCAAAUAUUUCCAUGGACUUGGUGACUAAAAGUAUAACAAGCUAUCUUAAACAUAUGUUCUUAAACAUAGUUUUCACCUUUGAAUGCGUAAAUAUUAUUACAAUGGAAAUUUCCUAAUAAGUGGAUAGUGAAAUUUCUUCUAACAGACUUCAAGCAUGUGACUGAACUGUCUUUUAGACAAAAGUCAGUGAGCUGUAUAUUCUGCUACACAUGUUAUUAAAAUGUGGGA